GUGCAAAAUCCAUCAAAUGGGUCAUGUCUCUGGGCCUCUCCCUCUUCCAGAGCAUCUUCAUACUGCAGCCACUCAAGGUGAUAGGAGUUGCUGUUUUUUUUGCCCUGCUUCUGAAACCUGUAGCUAUGGAGGAGACUGACGAAAUCAAGCAGGUGAUGUUAGAGCAACAAGCCAAGUGUCGACGCUACUCUGGCAGGGACACACUGUGAGGAAGCUGCAUUUAGAUGGAGAUGUGGUCUUCUUUGUGGGCACAGCUGCAAACUACG